GUGUAGAAAUGAAGGUUUUACUUCAACUGAUUAAUUCACUGGUCUUUUUUUUUUAAUAUAAGAAAUAUCAAAGCUGACGUCCUGGCCUGUUUCUAGCUCUAUACUAGUUGUUCUGCAUCCUAGAUGUUACGCUAUCCAGAAGAACUUCUCGAAAUGAACAGUGAAAAACAUCAAUGAAUACAUACUAUAAGCAAGCCACAGAGACUACGGUGCUGCUGGAGCUGGCGAUUGCUGUCAGAAGAGAGGCCACUGCUGCAGGGGAAGAUGAGAAGCCUUGCCACCCUGAGGAGUGGGACAGGCAGCGGCAGGAGGACUACAUGUACCUAUGUACUAUGAUUCCCUAAACAUUGCUGACAAAGCUGGAUCCACUCAUUACUUGUAUUCCUCUUGUAAUAAAUCCCAUCUUCUCUCUUUUAGUGAAA